UAAAAUGUGCAUAUUUUUUACCAAUAAUCUUUAGUGAAGAAAUUUCACAUGCUUAAGUCUAGUGUGACCACGGCUUUACCCUGAAAACUGUCAGAAGAUGGAAAGUUAAAUUCAUUGAUAAAUGUGUCUGAGUUUCUCUGUCUGUAGAAUCAGCUGCUUCAGACACAGACAGACGUGCAGCAGAUGAUCCAGAACAGAAUGAAGAAGAUUGAAGAGAUCCAGCACUCAGUAGAGCUGAGAAAGGACUGAGCUGCUGAAGAUGAUGGAGGAACAGCAGAAAGCAGCAGAGAAACAGGCUGAAGAUCUCAUUAAAGAGCUGCAGCAGGAAAUCACUGAGCUGAAGAGGAGAAACACUGAGCUGGAGCAGCUCUCACACACUGACGAUCAUCUGCACCUCCUGCAGAAGUUCUCAUCCCUGUGCAGUCGUCCACACACCAAGAACUGGACUGAGAUCAGGAUCGACUCUGAUGUGGAUGUGCGGUCUAUGAAAAGAGCUUUGAUUCAGCUGAAGAAAACUCUAGAUCGGAGUCUAAAUGAAAAACUCCGUCAGUCUGGUAUGUUAAUAUCAAACACAGUGAAUAGAUUUCUUAUGUGAACUUCUAUCCAAACUUUAAC